rnacentral:lncRNA from 1 species
AGUUGUCACCAUGCUUUUAAUUACACCAUGUGAAUCACAACAAUGACUUCAUUUAGAUUUCAAAUAGAAAAAGAGAGCUGGAAAUAGCUCAGCCUACGGUAAGGGGCUUGCCAUGUAAGCACAGGCCCGCAUGGGAUACCCAGUACCCACGGGUGGGGGGGAGGGAAGCAGGCAGCACCAUUAGAGUAAAGGCCUCAGACACAGCCAUCAGUUACAGCUGAGAAAGGCGCUCUAACACCCGCUCCCCCCCCCCCAGCUGCUGUGGGAAAGGACCACUGCUGUUCUCACUGCUGAGAACUGAUAGAA